rnacentral:rRNA from 1 species
UACGUAGGCAGCAAGCGUUGUUCGGAGUUACUGGGCGUAAAGGGUGUGUAGGCGGUUGUUUAAGUUUGGUGUGAAAUCUCCCGCUCAACUGGGAGGGUGCGCCGAAUACUGAAUGACUAGAGUGCGGGAGAGGAAAGUGGAAUUCCUGGUGUAGCGGUGAAAUGCGUAGAUAUCAGGAGGAACACCGGUGGUGUAGACGGCUUUCUGGACCGUAAACUGACGCUGAAACACGAAAGCGUGGGUAGCAAACAGG